UACGUAGGCAGCAAGCGUUGUUCGGAGUUACUGGGCGUAAAGGGUGCGUAGGCGGCUUUUUAAGUUUGGUGUGAAAUCUCCCGGCUCAACUGGGAGGGUGCGCCGAAUACUGAGAGGCUAGAGUGUGGGAGAGGAAAGUGGAAUUCCUGGUGUAGCGGUGAAAUGCGUAGAUAUCAGGAGGAACACCCGUGGCGAAAGCGGCUCACUGGACCAUUACUGACGCUGAUGCUCGAAAGCUAGGGGAGCAAACAGG
rnacentral:rRNA from 1 species